CAGUAAUCAUGGCUAUGCGUAGCGCAUAGAAAUCAACAAAACUGAGUGGAUACUGAGAGCACUGUAAGUGUUGGGAGCAUAAGAAGAAAUAAAUGAAAAAAAUAUAAAUAAAAUAAGAAGCAGGCGCAGCGCAUAGCGACUCAUCAAAAGAAAAAUCCAUGAAUCAACAAACUUCCGAACGUAAAGAUGGAUGUAUGUAUGUACGUAAAUAUACAUAUGUAUAUAGGUACAUUCGCUCGUCAACACGACAAAGCCCCAAGUAAGUGAGCGAGCAAGUGAGUGAGCGCAGCUUCGAAGGCCGUUGUUGGGUAAGCAGAGCCAGUUUGUGUGUUUGGGGAGUGGGUGUGGAGCAAGGUGGGCAGUUUGGUCGCAGCGCCAGCAGCAGCAGCAGCAGCAGCAAAGGCAGCAGUGUGCAUACAGCAACGAGUACCUCAGUCGCAGUCGCAGCAGCAGCAUCGGCAGUAAUGUAAGUAACGAUGAGCUUCGUUGUUAGCUGUGCGAAAAAUGCGGUGUUGAAAUUUUAGUCGAAAAGUUACUCUUUUGGUGUGCGGCUGCUCCACAAAUAAUUUAAAUUACUAACGCGAAUGAAGUGUUAUAUCUAUACUAAACCACAGCGAGACGGGUUUUCUGAUACAUUCAAAGCGAUUAACAUACGGUUCGGGAAACGUAAUUUAAUGAAAUUUAAUUUUGUUUUUAAAGCCAGAGUAUAUUUAUUACACAGUUCGCGAAAACAUCGUAUGAAAAUAACCAAUAAUAGCAACAACCACUUAAUGAAAAGUCGAUUUUCUAUUAAUACGUGUGCCAAAGUAGCAAUAACAAUGGCGCAUAUGUGUAGUGAAUGAGCGAGUGCGUGCCCUCAACGUGCCACGGUGGUGAAGUGCAAGCGGAAAGAGCUACAUCGCCAUUGCUAUAGCGAGAGCUAAAGCGAGAAAGGGAGAGAGAGAGUGCGCGGAAUUACUUAUUUGCAAGCAAUCGAAUAGGUACGUAGUAUAGACAAUAUUUAUUUCUUAUCGACAAAACGGGAGAAAAGUCAAAAUGAAAUAAAGUCCAUAUAAGUGUUAGCGUGUAUGGAAAAUAUACAUACCUACAUAGAAAGUGAGGUGAGUGAGUUUUUACGUACUUACAUACAUAUGUACAUACGGUUGUAUUUACAUAUGCGUGUGCGCGAAGAAAGCUACAAACAAAACAAAACCGCCAAUAAAAGUCAGUGAAAAAUUGAAGAAAACAGAUACCGAGGUGAAAAUUUUUGCAACGUGCAAUAGAGAGAAAGCGUUUUGCAACACCCAUGAAACACCGAUCAAAGCAGACAAUGAAAAAAUAAACAACAACGGCAACUACAAAAUCAACAACAACGGCAACAUCAACUAGCAGCAACAAAUCGAAGUGGCAGAUGGGAAACGCGUGAAGAAAACAAAAACCAUUGAAGGGAGAUUUUUCAAAAGCUACUUAAGUGGAGUAAAACAAAAAAUUCGAAGGGCAAUAAAAGAACUAACUAUCGAAGUUAAAGUACUAAAUAGGAGCUAUAAUUAGGUAAAGUUGUAAGUUUAAUAAGAAAAAAAUAACAUAACGUAAAACUCAUAACGUAAAGUAGCUAAAAAAAAGUGUUGGUAGAAGCAACUCCCCACUCAUACGCCAAAUAGAAGUUAAAAGCUAUUUACUACAAGUCGAUUUUAUAAAAACCUUAAGUGCAUAAAACCGAAACGAGGAGAAAGUGAAGAAUUUUCGUAAUAAUAUUUAUAAAGUGCAAAAAUAAAAAAUUAAAAAGUUAUACAUUUAGUGGAAAGCAUUGGAGAUUUUUUUUGGUGCAAACGUAGAAAACAGCAAGCAACGUGACAUCAAACAUUUUAGUGAAAAAAGGUGGGGUUUAUUAAUUUUUAACACAUUUAAAAAUAUUAAAACAUUGAGCAAGUAUUUUCAUGCACAUAUUUCUAUUAAGUAUUAGUAUUUGGUGUAUACCAGUUAGGUAUGUAUGUAUGUAUAUUAUAUUUUUAUUAAACAAAUGAGAUCUGGAAAUAUGUACCUAUUAAAUAGAGUCUACCUACUUAUUAAUUUUCAUUGGUCAUUGACGACUAUGUUCAUGCUCAACAGCGAUGUCGUAAUUCGCACCGGUUCAUCAAAAAAAUCUAAGAAAUAAAAAGAAAAAAUUAAUUCAAAAUUUCCGCGUUUCCCACUGUUUAAAUGUUCUUUUCAUCUCUCACAAAAUCACUUUAUUUUUAUACAGCUUCUUUGUGCUGUAAUCUUGUUCCAUCCUCUACUUGUACAGUUUCAAUGUUUCUUAAGUGGGUUCAUUGCAAAACUUUGGUGCUAUAGUGUUUGAUUUGCAGUUAAUUUCAUACGUGUUAUGUUACGGCUAAUACUUAUUCCCCUUCGUCAUUUUUGCUCUUUAUGGCUUCUUCUUUGGCUUAUUGUUCGUCACUUUGAAUUUUUUUUUAUAAUUUUAUGCAUAUAGUUUGUUGUCUUUGUUUAAUUUUGACGUCUACCAAUUCGCUUUUGCCAGCUGCUAAUGCUUAGCUUUGGCAACAUGCUUAAUUUUUCGUACGAAAUGCUUCGUGAUUAUUGCCGUCUCCGCCAAUUCGUACUUUAGUCGUCAUUCGUUUCUUUCUGUUUUUUAUUUUUAUUUUUUUUUUAAUACAAAAAACUUCCAUCGAAUGUAAGCUGAGAGUAAUAAGCCUUUUAGCAUUGCAAUGUGUGUCUUUCAGGGCGGUUUUUUUGCCCAGCGUUUGUGGUAAAUAUUUAUGCCUUUUCUGUUUUGCUCCUAAGAAAUGCUUACAAAAUAAAUUGAAAUUGAAUUUUUACGGUGUUUUUUUUUACCUUUACCACAAAAUAACUCCGAAAAGCAAGUCUGUAAAGUUAAAAGUGUUGUAUUUCUUGUCUGAAAGACUUGCUGUUCCUGGUGUGUUUUGAUUUUAAUUGAAUGAAUUAGCGGCAUCGCCUAAUGGUAUUGCUUUUAAAUGUUCAUUAAUUUUUGUUGCGUUUUCCGACAACGUAGGCGAACUACAAACCACAAAAGCUUACACGAGAAUCCAUUUGUAUCCAUUAACUUCUUAAUCGCUUUGUGACUAAGAUUUUAUCGAUGAUUUCUUUAUUACAUACCUACAUCGGUAUGUGCAAAUUUCAAACUUUCAAGUGUAAGUGUUGACGUUAGUCACAUUUCUCUAGCACUCGCAAGUAUUUAACAACUAGCAGCUGAUACUUAUCUACCAUAACUUAGUAAAGCAUUAAAUACCAUUUGUAAUACUUCUAUACUUAAAUCGAAUAUAUUUUAAGCUUUGAUAAGUAAUUGGAAUAAUAAGUGUAUACGCCCCAGUUGUCAAUGAACUUAGUAGGUUCAAUAUUCUACGUUCCCUAUAAUUAAUGUCAAUUACAAGUUGACUGGCCUCCACGUGCUUCUUUAGUAUAUUUCUAUGUAAUAAUAUGCUUGUUGAACAGGGAUUUAGUUGACUGCAAGCGGUUGCUUAGACUAGGGUUUAUUUUUAAGAAUAGCUAUUUUCGUCAUUUAAGAUGUAGAUAAUGAAAUCAAAACAUUCAUUCAAUUGCAUUGUAUGUAUAGAACUAAUAUGGGUUCGCAAAGUUGUUGUUGCUUAGAAUAUUUACUAAUACUAGAGGUUCGUUAGGCGUGAGAAUUUAUUGUUAGGAACAUAAUAACAGUUUUAUCGUAAAUUCUCUGCCUGCAUCUUCUCUGCCAAUCAGAGGAGAUUUGCGUAAAGUUUUGCUUCAUUUUAAAAUCCCAGCCUUAUAAAACUAAUCGGAUAUACAUAUAUAAAGCCGAUCAAACAAGAAUGACUUGGAUCAAUAUGUCGCACGUUUAGUAAUAUAUACCAAAACCGCAUUAACAAAAAACCGAUUUGAAAACAAAUUCAAGUCAAUACGCUUUUCAAUUUCAAACCGUACUGAAAUUUUGUUUAUGCAUCCGUUUUUAAUAAUAGGGAUGUAAUUCAAAAUUUAAGCUUUUGGAGAUUUCAUCAUACAAUUAAUAAGCUUGAUGAGGAGAAUAUGUUUAGCCUAAUAGAUGACUAAACUUCCCAAAAUUGGCGAAGAUAUGGAUCUUUUCAUCUUUCUUUUUGUAUACCAACUAUUUGAAUUGAUCAAACGUUUUUCCACAAAAUUGAAAUUUUGAAAUAUGUCUUUAUAUUAGUAAACGUGCGAUGUUACGCUCUCGUUAUUCUCUGUCGAAUAAAAUAUGAAGGUACAAACAUUGGACAUUCUUUUUAACAGGGAAAAUCUCAUCCCCUCUUAUUCAAAAUUGGUUCAAGUAAGAGUAAAAGGUAAAAGCUUUAUUAUUCUAUGACAUUUUAACCACCUUUAGACAGAGGAUGUCUUUCUUUAACGACCCUGAUAAACGGUCUUAUAGCUUUCUCUUGCAUGCUUGUGCUGGUUGACCUCCUCGGCGGCUUACUUGUGGCUUAGAGUCGAAUGCUUUCCGGGGAAUGUCGCUUGGUUCUCACCUCAAGACAUUUUCGAGCUCGGCUUGAUAUCUUCCGCUUAAGUUUUCGUUUCCAAUAUUUACUCAUGUAUUCAAUCUUCCAAAAAUUUUCAAAAUUUUCUGUGACAACUAACGCCAACUGGAAAUUGGAAGUAAAGCCCAUGCCUUUUCCUCCUGGUCGUUUCAUCGCAGAGAAGGUAUUCCUUUCGCUUGACCUUUCUAUACUGUAUGAUGAGCAUAUAUAGCGUAUAAAACGCCCUUUGAAAGUCGGUAAAAAUAAUCAAUUCUUCCCUUUUACUUGGGACUGUUAACAUGAUUGAGACAGGAGCGCACACUCUUUGACAGUCGUACAGUGUAAGUUUUAA